rnacentral:rRNA from 1 species
CCUUUUCAUCCUUCUCGUGGUCUCAGGCAAGGGGAUCCACUAUCACCAUACUUAUUCCUCUUUGUGGCUGAAGCAUUGUCGUUGCUACUUAAUGAUGCUUCGGCAAGAGGGGCUAUUCAAGAGUUCCGGCUAAACAGACAUGCCCCAGGUAUAUCUCAUCUCCUUUUUGCUGAUGAUAGUCUCCUAUUUUUUAAGGGUAACUUGGAGCAAGCUCUGAAUAUUAAAGGCAUUUUGUCGGCUUAUGAGGAGGGAACUGGCCAACUAUUAAGUCCGGAUAAAUGCUCCAUAUUAUUUGGCAAAAAUUGUUCUAUGGAAGACCAGGUGUCUAUUCUGGUUAUCCUUAAAAUCACGAUUGAUGGUUUUGAGGAUAAA